ACACCUCAACUCUCAUGGUUUGCCAUGAUGAGCUUGGACUUUGGGGGUCUUGCUGGCCUAUGGGUCGGCUCCUCUCAAAUGAAUCAGCUUGCCAGUGUUUGGUGGCGUCACAGGUGUGAUAACUAUCUACGCUUGUGGUUUUCCAUCAGGUAACCUUCAGUGAUGGAGGUUCGCUGGGGCUCAUAAAUGUCUCUCCUCAGUGAGGACAGCUUUUUGAAC
rnacentral:misc_RNA from 1 species